rnacentral:rRNA from 1 species
GGCGAGCUGCGGCAGGCUUACACAUGCAAGUCGAGGGGUAGAGGUUGCUUGCAACCUUGAGACCGGCGCACGGGUGCGUAACGCGUAUGCAACCUACCUUUUACAGAGGGAUAGCCCAGAGAAAUUUGGAUUAAUACCUCAUAGUAUAUAACAUUCGCAUGUUUGUUAUAUUAAAGUUCCAACGGUAAAAGAUGGGCAUGCGUCCUAUUAGCUAGAUGGUAAGGUAACGGCUUACCAUGGCCACGAUAGGUAGGGGUCCUGAGAGGGAGAUCCCCCACACUGGUACUGAGACACGGACCAGACUCCUACGGGAGGCAGCAGUGAGGAAUAUUGGACAAUGGGCGCAAGCCUGAUCCAGCCAUGCCGCGUGCAGGAAGAAGCAUCUAUGGUGUGUAAACUGCUUUUGUACGGGAAGAAACACUCCUUCGUGAAGGAGCUUGACGGUACCGUAAGAAUAAGGAUCGGCUAACUCCGUGCCAGCAGCCGCGGUAAUACGGAGGAUCCAAGCGUUAUCCGGAAUCAUUGGGUUUAAAGGGUCCGUAGGCGGUUUGGUAAGUCAGUGGUGAAAGCCCGCAGCUCAACUGUGGAACGGCCAUUGAUACUGCCAGACUUGAAUUACAAGGAAGUAACUAGAAUAUGUAGUGUAGCGGUGAAAUGCUUAGAUAUUACAUGGAAUACCAAUUGCGAAGGCAGGUUACUACUUGUGGAUUGACGCUGAUGGACGAAAGCGUGGGGAGCGAACAGGAUUAGAUACCCUGGUAGUCCACGCCGUAAACGAUGGAUACUAGCUGUUGGGGGCAACUUCAGUGGCUAAGCGAAAGUGAUAAGUAUCCCACCUGGGGAGUACGUUCGCAAGAAUGAAACUCAAAUGAAUUGACGGAAGGGCGAAUUCUGCA